CGGGACGGGUGAGUAAUGUCUGGGAAACUGCCUGAUGGAGGGGGAUAACUACUGGAAACGGUAGCUAAUACCGCAUAACGUCGCAAGACCAAAGAGGGGGGCCGUUCGGGCCUCUUGCCAUCGGAUGUGCCCAGAUGGGAUUAGCUAGUAGGUGGGGUAACGGCUCACCUAGGCGACGAUCCCUAGCUGGUCUGAGAGGAUGACCAGCCACACUGGAACUGAGACACGGUCCAG
rnacentral:rRNA from 1 species